CUCUAGAGAUUAGAGUUUGAUCAUGGCUCAGGAUAAACGCUGGCGGCAUGCGUAACACAUGCAAGUUGUACGAAGAUGUAUAAUUUUUAUACAAACUUAGUAGCGGACGGGUGAGUAAUACAUAAGAACCUACCUUUUGGUAUGGGAUAACUAUUGGAAACGAUAGCUAAUACCAUAUAUUGCUGAGAAGUGAAACUAUUAAGGGCCAAGAGAUGGGCUUAUGCCUGAUUAGCUAGUUGGUAUGAUAAUAGCAUACCAAGGCAAAGAUCAGUAGCUGUUCUGAGAGGAUGAUCAGCCACACUGGGACUGAGACACGGCCCAGACUCCUACGGGAGGCAGCAGUGAGGAAUUUUCCGCAAUGGGCGAAAGCCUGACGGAGCAAUGCCGCGUGAAGGAAGACAGCUUACGGGUUGUAAACUUCUUUUCUCAGAAAAGAAAAAAAUGACGGUAUCUGAGGAAUAAGCAUCGGCUAACUCUGUGCCAGCAGCCGCGGUAAGACAGAGGAUGCAAGCGUUAUCCGAAAUGAUUGGGCGUAAAGCGUCUGUAGGUGGUUUAAAAAGUACAUUGUUAAAUUUUAAGGCUUAACCUUAGCAAAGCAAGGUAAACUUUUAAACUAGAGUUUGGUAGAGGCAGAGGGAAUUUCCGGUGGAGCGGUGAAAUGCGGAGAGAUCGGGAGGAACACCAAAGGCGAAAGCACUUUGCUGGGCCAUUACUGACACUAAGAGACGAAAGCAAGGGGAGCAAAUGGGAUUAGAUACCCCAGUAGUCCUUGCCGUAAACGAUGGAUACUAAAUGUUGGAGAAAUUCAGUAUUGUAGCUAACGCGUUAAGUAUCCCGCCUGGGGAGUACGCUCGCAAGAGUGAAACUCAAAGGAAUUGACGGGAACCCGCACAAUUGGUGGGGCACGUGGUUUAAUUCGAUGCAACGCGAAGAACCUUACCAGGAUUUGACAUGUCAUUUGUUUCUGUAGCUUAAAAUUUUAAUUUAUUUUAAGUAGAAACUUUAAAAAAAUGAACACAGGUGGUGCAUGGCUGUCGUCAGCUCGUGUCGUAUGAUGUUGGGUUAAGUCCCGUAACGAGCGCAACCCUUGUUCUGUGUUGCUUAGGGAAACUCAGAAGACUGCCGGUGCAAAUCGGAGGAAGGUAAGGAUGAGGUCAAGUCAUCAUGCCCCUUAUGUCCUGGGCUACACACGUGCUACAAUGGCCGAUACAAAGAGACGCAACUCCGCGAGGACAAGCUAAUCCCAAAAAAUCGGUCUCAGUUCGGAUUGUAGGCUGCAACUCGCCUACAUGAAGUUGGAAUCAAUAGUAAUCGCAGGUCAGCCACACUGCGGUGAAUACGUUCCCGGGUUUUGUACACACCGCCCGUCACACCCUGGAAAUUUGUUAUGCCCAAAGUUAUUACCCUAACCAUUUUUUGGAAGGGGAUACCUAAGGCAGAACUCGUAACUAGGGUGAAGUCGUAACAAGGUAACCCUAAUCGUCGACCUGCA
rnacentral:rRNA from 1 species